rnacentral:RNase_P_RNA from 2 species
CGAGUAAGCCAGACAGUCGCUGCUGCAAUUUUGCAGGAGAGGAAAGUCGGAGCUCCAUAGGGCAGGGUGCUGGGUAACUCCCAGUGGAGGCGACUCUAAGGAAAGUGCAACAGAAAAUACCGCCAUGAAUAUAUCUUAUUUUUAUUUAAGAUUUCAUGGUAAGGGUGAAAAGGUGAGGUAAGAGCUCACCAGCACAUUGGUGACUUUGUGGCUGUGUAAACCCCAUCUGGAGCAAGAUCGAAUAGGGAGACAAUAAAAGGGGCUGCCCGUCCCGUCUCCGGGUAGUAUCGCUGGAGCCUACUGGCAACUUUAGGCCUAGAUAGAUGACUGUUUAAUACAGAACUCCGCUUAUAGACUUAGUCGCAUA